CCCCGCCUCCCAGUCACACUCCUGUCUAUGCCAGUCCGGGCCGGGCAGCAGCUCUGCAGCGCUUCCGUACUACUCCUAUCACGCAGUACCGGGGGUGGGAGACGCGGCACACACACUCCCGCCGUCCUACCACUGCUGGUCUCUCAGCUCCAGUUCUCAGACUUCUCAUAAUAGUGUCCAUUCACGGCUGCUCCAGGAAUGUGUUGACAACUGCCACCUACAAUGUGUCGUUUUCCUGUUAAUGUGCUGAAGUACAGAUUAAUAUUCCCUAGCCUAACGCAUGUUUACUAACCAGGGAAAAUAUUUUCGUAUUAAGCUUUGAGACUCCGUGAUCUGAAGCCAUGGUGCAUGGAUUAAAGAAGAAUAAAUACAUUUACGUAUCCCCACCUCAGAAGCUACGAUACUGUUCUGCAUCUGGACAAACAAGUGAGGAAAAAAACAGAAUGGUUCUGAAGUCACUUACCAGUAAGGAGAAAGAAGAGGACUUUGUGCCUAAUGCCCAGCUGUUGCAUGUAAGCGGCGCUGACACAUACCAGAGACAGGCGCAGAAUGUCGGAGCUUGAAAAAGAAGAGGCACCACAGCAGUGCAGGAAAAUGAAAAAAAUGGUUUGUUGAAAUUGUUGGUUGGGAAAAUUAAAGACAAAUUAGGAGAUAAUAUGCGAGGGUGGACCCGAGAUUUUGACUACCUCCACAGGGCUUAAUCCGGCUCUUGCAUGACCUGUAAAUCAAGAAAGAUUAUUUCAAAAUAUCAUUUAUAGAAUAAAAACUUAUAUAUAAUUUAUAGAAUAAAAAUUACCUUUACAGAGAAACACAGGAUAGUUCUGUUGGGUUGUAUCCAAUGCCAAAAUUUGGAAACCAUAUCUCUUCAGUCCUCCACCUGGAGUUUAAAGAAGUAACCCAGAGAUACAAAAUGUUCUGAACUAAUAAGGUUCAUAGGGUACAUAUGAAACAGUGACACUGAACUGAUUUCAAUAGUCACCUUAUUUGGCACUCCUUUGAAAUAAUUAUAUAUAUAUAUAUAUAUAUAUAUAUAUAUAUAUAUAUAUAUAUAUAUAUAUACACACACAGGUUGAGUAUCCUAUAUCCAAAAUUAAAAAUCACACAUUUUUUGUUCCCCUACUGAGAUAAUGACACAUAUACAUAUAUCUAUGUAUACACAGAAUAUAUAAUAUAUAUGUAAUUUUAUCUGUAGGGGACCCAAAAAUGUGGGAUUUUGAAUUUUGGAUAAGGCAUACUCAACCUGUAUAUACAGUGCUUUACAACAGGUGUGUCGAUAACUGUCUCACCUAAGUAAGCAAAGUUGCAGUGAGCUUUAGACCCGAUAGCAUAUCUAAAGUUUAAUACUAAUGUGAUAGCUAUUUUCAUGAUAACUGUUUUGAGCAAUAGAGUAGGACCUGCAGUAUAGUGGGGUCCCUUGCUGGGGGCUGCAGGCUUAAAUGCAUUGAUCAAUACAUAAACUAAAACUCCACUGUUUAUUAUUGUUAGUUAAUAUAGCGAGUGCAGAGCCCCUGCGAUAUAUAUAUAUAUUUACUCUGCCAGCUCUCUUUCUACAUUCUACAUGGCAGUGUCUUCCCACUUUUGGUGGGAUGCCAUAGUAGCAAAGUCAACAGAGACUUCACCAUCCACAUGUGGCUGAACAUUUGUUUCCCUGAGACCUGUCUAUCAGAAGCUGCAAUCAUGCAACAGCACUGUCCAGAAAGAGAGACCAUCUGCAAAGCAGCAUUUUAAACCCAGCUCUCAAUACCACUUAGCGGGGCUGCCCGGGGACAACUCCCUUUUAUCCUGCUGUUUUUGUGUCCAGCAUGUCUGCUAAAGCAGAAUAUUAUUCAUUGAGAUACAUUCUGCCUGCAUAUAGAUUUCUUCUGACUGCAUAUAUAUAGAACAAAUAAUAGGCAUGUAUGUACAAAACUUUCAGUAUGUGUGACCGCAUCUACUGACAUUUUCAAAAGGAAGAGAGAGAAAAUGUGUCCAUUAGGCUGUGCCACUAUCUUGAAUAUCCUGAACACAUACUAUAUCUCAUCACAUAAGCUACAAAGUAGAGACAGGUAGGACUUUCUAAUAGUUAAACAUAAAUUCUAAGCAUUGUAGAUAAGAUGACAAAUAAAUUAAUAAACUAACUCUUUAAUAAUAGUUUAUGCUAAAAAUUACACCAAAAUUAUAUUUUCUGAAAUACUAAUAAUGUACAUAAACAGCAGGGAAAACUAAAGUUUAUGCUUCAGUGAAGGAAAUCUGUAAGGACAGAACAAAACUGGAGUAAAUAAAAACAACAAAGUUCUCACGAGACAGGUGCAACUUAUCAAACUGUACUAUUACACAUUCUUGACAUUCUAGUGUUUUACUAAAUAACCAAUAUUGACUUAAUGAAGUUGAUAGGCUUCCUAGAUAGCAUGAUGGAUGGUUUUCUGGUACAGUAGAAGAAAUAUUUAAUUUGAUUGGUACCAUAUUUUUUAUGUCAAACACAUGACAUACUGUACACACAGUAUUUUUAUUACAUGGUUAGAUACACUAUAUAUGAGAAAAAUUACCCACUACUUAAAAAAAUUAGGAUAUUAGAAGUCAACAGAGAGUUAUGUGACUUUAUAAAUUCAUGUGUGGUAUAUUAUUCCUACAGUAUAUGAACAGAUGUUUCUGUUAAAGAUGUU